rnacentral:tRNA from 1 species
GACUCUGCGGUGUAAUGGUUAACCCACCCGUCCGGAGAGCGGAGGUCGUAGGUUUAAAUCCUACCGGUGUUU